GAAUCGCAAUCAGCCAACUAAAAUUCAUGGGAGGAACAGAAGCAGAGAGCUGUGAAAUCAGCUGGGACAACCAUGUUCAUAUAUGAUGGAAAAACCACGUUAGUGCAACCUCACUGUAGCCCAUCCCAACCAAGCCUUCACUACACACUGUUCUCCUGGGACCAGAGAACUCUUCCCUUUUCUUUUCUUUUGUGACUUCGUUUCAGACGACGAUCCACCAAGGAGGGAGGCUCCAUCACAGCCGAGUCUCUGCCUUUUCUCCAUGACUUCAUUACUGAACAUCUGAGCUUUCCCAAAUUCAAGACUUCUUUACCACCACCUCUGCUCACCUCCUCAGGUUGUCACUAUCACAACUCCCAAGCAAAAGAGAUUUACCUUCUCCAGUGUGCAGACAUCAAAGUACUAUUUGAGGGGUACAGUUAAGAUCUGAUUUCAGCCCAAGAGGUUCCUAGUCACCAUCACGAUAAAACAUGACAAAGCAUUUUGUGGGCCCCAUCACAGGGAACCAAGCGAGCAUUUACUCCUGCAUCUAAAUCACAAGGUGUGCCUCUGUACUGCCCACAAGUUACAGAGGAAAUAAAGCACCUCACGCUUUCUCAGAAGCUAAAGCAGCACAGUUUUUUCUUUUGCUGUUCACAAAGUUCUGUAUAAGCCAUUUUACAUCUGAUAAGGUAAUUCACAGGCCCAGUGACAUCUGAGAGCCAGGCUAAGGACAAAAGCAGGGGAUAACAAGAAGAGCAGCCUGCAGGUGUCUGGCUGUUCAACCAUUCUGCCUUACUUACUGAACAAAUAUUUAAUGAGCAAUUACUAGGUCCCAGGCCCCAGCCGCACAGGGAUGAUGACACGUCGGUCUCCUCGGAGAUCUUAUGUAAUAUCGGACAGUAACCGCUCUAGAGAGAGGGAAAGCAGGGGAGAGGGAUGGAAUUGGGCUGAAAAGGUGGCUAAGCAAAAAUGGAACAUCUGAAGAGACCGGACUGAUACCGAAUCCACGCUGCCUAUGGAGGGGAGAGGGAGAGGACAGAGCUGAGGAGACACUGACGGAGCGGGCUGGAGGCCACUGGGACUUCAAGACAACUCAUUUUUCUAAAUUCGGCCUUUCAAACCAAAGUUUCUAAGGAGCCCUUUGUUGUGCUAAGGAUUGAAAUCGGGGCCUCACAAUACGAAUGGAGCACAACCCCAGCCCCAACAACCCCCUUAUCUGACAUAUUAUAAUGGGAAAGAUUCUAAUAUACGCCUCCAUACUGCAGGUAACGAAACACGCUGGGCCUUGCACUGUGGUCUCCGUCCCCCACUCAUAACCAUCAUAAAUGUGCCUAGGAGAGAAAUGAAGCAAUUCUCAGAUGGCAAAUUAAAUGAUGGUGGCUCUCCAGGGAGGAAGAAGGCUCUCCAGGGGCUCUCUGCAGCUCCACAGGAGCCUGGCCUUUCAUCUGCAGACCUCGCCAGACUGAGAAACACCAAAGCCCAGGGCCGACCAGGAGCAGAGGGUCUGAGAAACCCAAAUGUCACUCAAGAACGUUGGAACCCCAAAGCCUUUUAUUAUGAAUCAUGAAUUAAUCAGACAGAGGGACGACUGGUAAGAUGGCUGAACUACUUGUUGCCAAGCCUGACAACUUGAGUUUGAUGUCCACAACCCAUAGGGUGGAAGAAAGAAUGGAUCCCUGAGGACUAUCUUCUGAGUUCCACACACCUGCUCUAUCCCAGAUAAGUAAAUUAAACAUGUGUUAACAAAAGGUGGUGGCACUGUGUGCUUGACAGUGUGCAUGUGUGCGUGCGUGCAUGCGUGCAUGUGUGUGUGUAUUACUUGGAUGGCUUAGCAGUUAAAGGCACUUGCUGCUCUUCCAGAGGACCCAAAUUAAGUUCCCAGCAACUAUACUGUGUGACUAACAACCACCCUCCUGUAACUCCAGUUCCAGGGUAUCCACUGCCCUCUUCCGGCAUCCACAGGCAAUGCACUCCUGUGCAUGAACACACAUGAACACACAUGAACACAUGCACACACAUUUUUUAAAUUAAAAAGUAUGUUAAUAUGGUCUUAAAGAAAUUUAAAAAUCACUGACAUUCAGCUAAUAUUGUUUAAAAGACAAGACAGGAACAAAAAUCUAAUUAAAUAAUCAAAACAAUAAAGUAGCCUAAAGCUAGCAUGCUAAUAAUUAUAUUGAUUUUAUAUAUUUAGAAGAUAUUCAUAAGAUAAAGACUGCUGGGUGUGCAGAGCCGCCGGCCUGCAAUGCUAAUACUUGGGAGGCUGAAGCUCUGUUAGCUCAAGGCCAACCUGGAGUAUGUAAUUAGACUUGUCUCAACAAACCAAAACUAAAUUAAACUGAAAGGCAAAGGCCCCCAGCAUUGACUAGGUCUACAGACUGAGUUCCAGGCCAGCCAAGGCUAUACAGUGAGACCCUGUCUCUAAAAGAAAAAAAGGAUCAACGACAGAAGACACAGUCAGGAAGGAAAAUCAUACAUAUAUAGCAAAAACUAUUUUGAAUAAAAAAAAGUAAAAAAAAAAAAAAAAAAAACAAAACCCAAAACAAAAAACAAUGUAGCAAGGAAGUUCUCCAAAUCUGGCAGAGCAUGGAGUGGAAGCGCAUGCCUGUGAUGCUAGAACUCAGAAGGCAGAGGCAGGAGGAUCAGGAGUUCACUGGCCAGCCUUGGCUACCCACUGAGACCCUCUCUCAAAAGCCAGAAGCAGCAAGGAAAUGGUACAAACGCUGAAAGCGUGGCUGAGCCGUGGAGUGGGCUCGACCCCUGGAUUCAAUCCUAGCACUAACCAAGAAAAGACAACUGGGACUCGGGCUGCAGCGACUGCCUGUCUGUAGUGGGAAGCACAGCCGGCCCUGACCCUUUCAGUGCCAGCAGCCUAGAGGAGCAGUAGUGCCUAAAUGCUCUGCCUAGUACUGUGGGAAGUCUGCAGACCCAAGGCCCACCUAACAGGUCUACAGGGUCUCCUACAGGACUCCCAUGGGUCUCCUAACUUUGCUUACCACAAUUUUGCCAGAAAUCCAAACCUCCCAGGUUCACCCCUCACGAUCUAAACCUCAUUCCCUUGAGGCUGGAGUGAGCUCUGCAUGGAGGUGUGCGUAGGCCCCAGCUCAAACUCUAGCAGUGCAGAAACAAAACCACCCAGGCUGUUCCAAGUCUCAUCACUCCCUCAACCUCUCUCCUAAGUCCCCGCCCAAGGUCUCCGUAGCUCUAAUUACCCGCCUCAGUCACUUCUCCUUUCUGGUAUUUUCCAUUGCUUCCAGGUGACGCUGGCUCCUCCCCCACUUCUCCCAAGCUCUCUCAAGCAGAAAGCUGACUACUCUUGGGCAAUGAGGUCAGAGACCUCUUUGCUCCCCCUGUGUGACCUUCAGACAGUUCCACUCCACCUUGUGCAGAAGGGCUCCUCUAGAGAGCAUGCAGCUGGUUUUCCACCAGUCAACCCUUUGGCUUUCACAGCCCAGCCUCCUGAUGUAGAGGCUGUGCUAUGUGGCCCUUCUCAGUCACAUUUCACCUAAACAGCAAUCCCACCUCAGUUCUGUGGGUCCUGCUCUAAUACAUCCAGUAAGCCCUGGACCACAGAUAACCAACCUUACACACACACACACACACACACACACACACACACACACACACACACACCUCCCUAUGGGAACACCGAAGUUCCCAUAUACUGAAGCUGGGAACAGAAAGAAAAUCAGCAAGACAGGACACACCACAGUGAAAGAUACCAGAUCUCUCCUAAGGGAAUCAAGACCAAGACUAAUGUUUUGGGGCUGCAGCUGAUCUUGAGUGACUGGAACUAUGGCAAGCAGAGGCCCAGGGAAGAGAGAAAAGACUAUGCCACAUAUCAACAUGGGUACUGCUCCAGUUUCUCUUUUUCUUCUUCUCUCUCUCUAUCCCCUCCUUGAGGUCAGGGUUUCUCAACUCAGACACUACUGAGUAAGUUCUGGACCACAAGCUUAUUUACAGGAACAAGAGAGAAGUGUCCUGGACAGAACAUAAUGUUUACUUAUAAAGAUGCCAAUGGGAGUGCCAAUGCAGCACCUCCCCAAGAACACAUCUACAAGGUGCCGGGCUUCUGUGACUCCCACUCAUGCAAACUGGAAAUCAGGAAGACAGUCGGGAGUGAGGUGCACAGGAUACUUGGUGAGACGGAGGAAUUAACUACAGUGCAUGGUAAUGUACUGUGUUUAUGUCUGAUGUGGUUACAGAAUGAACUACAUUUGCCUCAAAAUAAUCUGAGGUAGAAGAGAACCUGAGAGGGUGAAACAGGCUUGCCUGUAAGUUGGUGAUUUUUGAAGGUUGCAAAGAGAGAAUACAGUGAGUUUAGAAUGUCAAGAUCAGGCUGAGCAUGAAUUUUUAAUCCCAGUGCUUACAAGACAGAGGCAGGUGAGUCUCUGAGUUGAGGCUAGCGCGGUCUACAUGGUAAAUGCCAAGGCAGACAGGGAUACAGGGAGCCGCUGUCUGUCUGUUGUUGACACAUGAACUUGUUCUUUCCCCUGCGGCUAGCUACUGUAGGAAUACCAUUCCAUUUGGUCUAUGUCAGACUUUCACGAUAGAGGCUAAGCCAUCAGCUGGAAACCCUUUUAGUCUCUAGCCGAAACUACCCAAAAGGUGAAGAGAAAACUUCAGCCAGUGCCACCAACGAGCUUAGUGUUGGCACAGCCUGGCACCUUGAGAUCAUUUAGUACCCGUAGGACAUUUUACAGAAACCUAAAGCCUUGCUUAGGACUCACUGAAGGGGUGUACAGAAAGCCAAGAGUCUUAGCAGUAAACUCUCCUCACUACACAUUUCCUUAAAACCUUAGUGCAGAAGCCCAGUGUACCAGACAGUGUAGGUGCAGAGGCAGAGGGGACCAGCCCUUCACCCCAGCAUGGACUGGAAUUGCUGUUUUGUGCUCAUGGCUACAUGAGUCAAGUUCCAGGGGUCUGGAAAGCUCUCCAUGAGAAGAGAAUGUGUGGACACAGUAGCUCAUGCCUAUAACCCCACAUUUGGGAGCACCCUAGUUUCAUUUCUGCCACUGUGAUAAAAACCAGACAGAAGCAAGUUAGAGGGGGAAGGGUUUGUGUGGGUCUUGAUUCCAGGGCACAGUCUAUUAUGGCAGAAGAGUCAAGGCGGCAGGAACUGUAAGCGCUAGUACCAGCCAGGGAGGGAGGGAGGGAGGGAGGGAGGGAGGGAGAGAGAGAGAGAGAGAGAAUAUGAGUGAGUGAGAGUGGGUGUCUAUGUGCUUCCGUGCAGGGAGAGUCUUCCUGCCUCAAUUAACCCAAGAAAUUUCCCAUGGGCCAUCUGCCAACCCAACCCAAAUAAUUCCUCACUGAGACUCUAUAUCCAGGAUAUUCUAGAGCAUGUAUCGAGUUGACUAAACAGAGAGGCUGAGGCAGGAGGAUUGUGUGAAUGUGAGGACAUAGUAAGUUCCAGACUAUCUUGGCUGUAGUGUGGGGUCUUGACAAGAAAGAAAGUGAAUGGGGACAUUCCUAAAGGGGCAGCUUUUCUGUGGUGUGUGCGCCCCACACUUCAGUUGUUUAACAAAGAAGAAAAUCAUGUCCCUUCAAACACUUCUCGGUAGUUAUCUGCUCCAAGAGUUGAUUAAACUCCGGGUUUUUUUUUCCCAUAUUCUACAGGAAAGGAGAGAGUAGAGUGUGGAGAGCUGUGAGACACGUCUUUCAGAUAGCUCAAGGACGUUCUGCCGUUUCUCCAUUCAUGGAGACGGAAGAGCAGCAUCCCACCGUGGGCUGAAGGGAAAAGCUACCCCACACGUAUGGAGUCAGCUUUCAUCCAAGAUAGAUCCAAGCCACUCAGACAGAGGCGAAUUAGUGUUCUUAAAUACAGCUCAUAAUGACUUAAAAAAAACUAUCUUUACUCUACCUUAGUAUAAUCCUAGUUCUGCUUCUGUUCAUCAGAUAAACAAGUGUCUUAAGGAGGAAUAUGUAGGGGUUGGGGAUUUAGCUCAGCAGUAGAGUGCUUGCCUAGCGAGCACAAGGCCCUGGGUUCGGUCCCCAGCUCCGAAAAAAGAAAAAAAAAAAAAAAAAAAAAGGAGGAAUAUGUAGACGUGUGCACCUUUCAAUCCCAGACCGUGGGGGACAGAGGCAGGCAGAUCUCUGUGAGUUCGAGGCCACCAGGGACCACAUAGUGAGACUGUGCUCAAGGGAAAAAGUAAAAUUAAAUGUAUACAUUUAGUAACAUAUGUUUAUUUAAUGAUUAUAUUUGUUUAAUAUAAUAAUAAAACAAAAAAAUGAAAGAAUGACUUUAUUUAGGGAUGGGGACUCAGGGAUUACAAGGCCCUGGGUUCAGUCUUCAGUACCACACCUCAAAAAAUUUCUUUAAAAAGCAGGUUAGAGACAGAGAUGGCUCAGCAGGUAAUAGCUGUUAAAAAACAAAACAAACAAAAAAAAAAAAAAAAAAAAAAAAAAAAAACAACCAAAAA